UACGUAGGGUGCAAGCGUUGUCCGGAAUUAUUGGGCGUAAAGAGCUCGUAGGCGGUCUGUCGCGUCGGCUGUGAAAACUCGGGGCUCAACCCCGAGCCUGCAGUCGAUACGGGCAGACUAGAGUGCUGUAGGGGAGACUGGAAUUCCCGGUGUAGUGGUGAAAUGCGUAGAGAUCGGGAGGAACACCUGUGGCGAAGGCGGCCCCCUGGGCCGGCCCUGACACUGAGACGCGAAGGCGUGGGGAGCGAACGGG
rnacentral:rRNA from 1 species